rnacentral:rRNA from 1 species
AGGGUUCGAUUCUGGCUCAGGAUAAACGCUGGCGGCGUGCUUAACACAUGCAAGUCGAACGGAGUAGUUCUCCCGAGGAUUGAUGAAGCUUGCUUCUGAUAAACUCAUUUGAGCUACUUAGUGGCGGACGGGUGAGUAACGCGUGGGUAACCUGCCCUAUGCAGGGGGAUAACAGUUGGAAACGACUGUUAAUACCGCAUAAGCGCACAGUAUCGCAUGGUACGGUGUGAAAAACUCCGGUGGCAUAGGAUGGACCCGCGUCUGAUUAGCUAGUUGGUGAGGUAACGGCCCACCAAGGCGACGAUCAGUAGCCGACCUGAGAGGGUGUACGGCCACAUUGGGACUGAGACACGGCCCAAACUCCUACGGGAGGCAGCAGUGGGGAAUAUUGGACAAUGGGGGAAACCCUGAUCCAAGCGACGCCGCGUGAACGAUGAAGUAUUUCGGUAUGUAAAGUUCUAUCAGCAGGGAAGAUAAUGACGGUACCUGACUAAGAAGCACCGGCUAAAUACGUGCCAGCAGCCGC